rnacentral:rRNA from 1 species
UACGUAGGGGGCGAGCGUUGUCCGGAAUUACUGGGCGUAAAGGGUGCGUAGGCGGCUUAGUAAGUCGGAUGUGAAACCCCCGGGCUUAACCCGGGACGUGCAUCCGAUACUGUUGAGCUAGAGUGCAGGAGAGGAAAGCGGAAUUCCUAGUGUAGCGGUGAAAUGCGUAGAUAUUAGGAGGAACACCAGUGGCGAAGGCGGCUUUCUGGACUGUAACUGACGCUGAGGCACGAAAGCGUGGGGAGCAAAC